rnacentral:rRNA from 1 species
CCUACGGGGCGCAGCAGUGGGGAAUAUUGCACAAUGGGGGAAACCCUGAUGCAGCGACGCCGCGUGAAGGACGAAGUAUUUCGGUACGUAAACUUCUAUCAGCAGGGAAGAAAAUGACGGUACCUGAACAAGAAGCCCCGGCUAACUACGUGCCAGCAGCCGCGGGAAUACGUAGGGGGCAAGAGUUAUCCGGAUUUACGGGGUGUAAAGGGAGCGUAGACGGCCAUGCGAGUCUGAUGUGAAAACCCGGGGCUUAACCCCGGGAUUGCAUUGGAAACUGUGCGGCUGGAGUGUUGGAGAGGCGAGUGGAAUUCCUAGUGUAGCGGUGAAAUGCGUAGAGAUUAGGAGGAACACCAGUGGCGAAGGCGGCUUGCUGGACGACGACUGACGUUGAGGCUCGAAAGCGUGGGGAGCAAACAGGAUUAGAUACCCUAGUAGUC